UAGGGAAUCUUGGACAAUGGUCGAAAGCCUGAUCCAGCCAUGCCGCGUGAGUGAAGAAGGCCCUAGGGUUGUAAAGCUCUUUUGGCGGGGACGAUAAUGACGGUACCCGCAGAAUAAGCCCCGGCUAACUUCGUGCCAGCAGCCGCGGUAAUACGAAGGGGGCUAGCGUUGUUCGGAAUUACUGGGCGUAAAGCGCACGCAGGCGGAAUGGAAAGUUAGAGGUGAAAUCCCGGGGCUCUACCUCGGAAUUGCCUUUGAUACUGCCAGUCUUGAGUUCGGGAGAGGUGAGUGGAAUUCCUAGUGUAGAGGUGAAAUUCGUAGAUAAUAGGAAUAACACCAGUGGCGAAGGCGGCUCACUGGCCCGGAACUGACGCUCAGGUGCGAAAGCGUGGGGAGCAAACAGGAUUAGAUACCCCCGUAGUCC
rnacentral:rRNA from 1 species